UUGCCAGCCAAAUGUGUUCUGAGUUUACAAAGUUGCCGAAGUGCAGAAUAUUGUCAUAUUCUUAUAUUUUCGUUUUAUUUCGAGAAAGUAAGAUAAAUACAAAACAUUCGUGAGGUAUUUAUUACAUUUAGCGUUCAUGUAUAUGUUCGUAUUAUCUUUACCGGCUGUUGGUAAUGUGAACUUGAACACCAUGUUUUGUACAGUAUGCAGAGUUCACUAAAUACAAGGGGUAAUUAUUGUGCUAACUGUGGGAUGGAUCUUCGAAAGUCUGACGAGUCAAAGACCUUGCGGAACAGUGAUCCAUCAACAUCAGCUGGGCCUACUACUGACCUCGUGCCACCAAACUUUGACUUUUAAAGAGUAUUUGGCUGAUAUUUCAUUUGCCACUGUUGAGACAAGGAAGCGUCAAGAUCGUUUUGUCUCCACGAAAAAGACGAAGAACGACGAGACUGUCAAGAUAAACAUUGGAAUUAUUGAGCUGGAUGGGAAUCAUUUGAAAAUUAAGCGAGGCUCACUUCUUCCUAUUGAUGUAAAAAAAUGUGAUCCUCAUGUUGUCAUAAAAACUGCUGGGGUGGGGAAGCAACUGGCUCACAAUAAGCAACUCCAUGAUGAAAGUUCCGAAUGGGUUUUGUUGUACCCUGAUAUGGAGUUUUAUAUUUACCAGGCACAACAGAAACAUUUUCUGUAGAAAAGUACAAGGAGUCCCUUGGCAGGCCAUGCAGUAGUGUCAAUUUGUAUCUUUGCAAGACUUUGGAUUAUGAAAUUGCUAAUGAAUUAGUUGAUGAUGUUGUGGAAGAGCAAUUAGAUUUGGAAGAAAUCAGACUAGCAUAGUCAAAAUGAAUUUUUGUGCACAGAACCACAGCUUGGAGAAGAAUAACAUUCCACAACUUUGGUUGGACUGUCAUCUAUUGAUGAUGCAACUUUAACACCACAUGCACUGGAGAACCUCGAAAAUUGUGAUGCUUUUGAGAUGAAUACUGCCCAAGGUGAAAGUUCUGAAGGGGCUACUUUUGUCCCAGAAAGUAUGGCAAAUGAAGUUAUGGAGCGAGAAGUGUUGCUUAUUCAUCGUUGUAAUGUGAAAGCUGACUUGCUGCACUAUUUUGAAAAAGAUGACAUUUUAAAGAAGUGUGUGGAUGUCCAGAUGAUUGAUUCCAGAGGUGUUGAGGAAAAGGGCGAAGCAGUCGGCGUUGUCAGGGAUGCAUUUUCUCUGUUUUGGAAUGAAAUAGUUUCAUGUCAGGCGAGGAUGAACGAGUCCCAGUGAUUCGUCAUGACGUUUCUCGGGAGAAGUGGCAAGCGAUAGCUAGAAAUCUCGUGAAAGGUUACACUCAAGAACGCUAUUUUCCAAUCAAAAUUUCUCGUGUUUUCUUGUGCUCCUGUCUUUUUGGCGUAGAUUAUGUCUCAUAAGAUAUGUACGUGAGUUUUUUUAUGAAGUAUAUUUUGACCACUGAGUCUAGUGUGGUUGAAAACGUACUUUCUCAUUCUCUUGCAGUUGAUGAUGAAGAUGUGCAGGAUUUUUUAACAGCGUUUGAGUGCAAAAAUAUAUAGCGUUUAUACAGCGUUUGCCGUAAAGCUAUUUCCCUCGGAUGUUUUGCCGUAUAGCUAUUUCCCUCGGUGUUUUGCCGUAUAGCU